rnacentral:rRNA from 1 species
CCUACGUGAGGCAGCAGUGAGGAAUAUUGGUCAAUGGGCGGAAGCCUGAACCAGCCAAGUCGCGUGAGGGAAUAAGGCCCUACGGGUCGUAAACCUCUUUUGCCGGGGAGCAAGGGCCGGGACGAGUCCCGGUCCGGAGAGUACCCGGAGAAAAAGCAUCGGCUAACUCCGUGCCAGCAGCCGCGGUAAUACGGAGGAUGCGAGCGUUAGCCGGAUUUAUUGGGUUUAAAGGGUGCGUAGGCGGGCAUUUAAGCCGGCGGUCAAAUGUCGGGGCGCAACCCCGGCCUGCCGUCGGAACUGGGUGCCUUGAGUGGGCGAGAAGUAUGCGGAAUGCGUGGUGUAGCGGUGAAAUGCAUAGAUAUCACGCAGAACCCCGAUUGCGAAGGCAGCAUACCGGCGCCCUACUGACGCUGAGGCACGAAAGUGCGGGUAUCGAACAGGAUUAGAUACCCGUGUAGUC